CCCUUAGAUGUUCUGGGCCGCACGCGCGCUACACUGAUGCAUUCAACGAGUCUAAAACCUGCUCUGAUAGGGGUGGGUAAUCUUUUGAAUGUGCAUCGUGAUUGGGAUAGAUGAUUGCAAUUUUUCAUCUUCAACGAGGAAUGCCUAGUAAACGCAAGUCAUCAGCUUGCAUUGAUUACGUCCCUGCCCUUUGUACACACCGCCCGUCGCUCCUACCGAUUGAGUGUGUUGGUGAGGAGUUUGGAUUGGCCUCGGAAGGUGGUUCGCCACCGUCCGUAGCUGAGAAGUUCUCCAAACCGCCCCACUUAGAGGAAGGAGAAGUCGUAACA
rnacentral:rRNA from 1 species